CUUUCUCUCUCUCUGCUCCUCCAGGCUAUGAGCCGGCCUGUGACAAGUGGGGGCUCAUCCGUGGCAGUGAACGUGGGUAGAGCUUCCCUUUUCCCCUACAUCGGCUCGGGAGCACCUCUGUGGUUAUAGGGGGGGCCGCCAGUUCUGCUUGUCUUUUCCACUCCACUGGUUUUGUGUGCAUAAAACCCCACCACAUGUGACUGCACGAAGACCAGGGCCAGUUACUUAGUUGUUUUUGGAGGAUAUUGGGGUGUGGCUCCUGUUCUUGAACCCAGACUGACAGCAGAAUACUUCAAAAUGAGAAGAUCCUGCCAUGGAAAAGACGACUAGGUGGACAUAAAGUGGAAAGGAGGGGAAAUAACUCGCACUAUGCAGCAGGACACCUUCAGCUGUGGGGUCUUUGUAAUGCAGAUGGCCAAGGAAGUUGCAUAGAACUUCCCCAACAUCCCCUCUCAAAUUGAUAUGGAACCUUCAAAAACACAUGGAGCAACUGCGAAAAGAAAUGGCUGAGAAUUUACUAAAAAUGUCUGAGUUCAACAAAGCCAACAACUGCGUCAUGUGUGCCACUGAUAAAGAACCUGGAUGUGGCCCAAAGACUGACUGGUGUGCUGUGCCUAGGAAUGAAGACAAGAGUUCAACAGAGUAAAGAACACAAACUGGAAGUGCUGUCUUUGUUGUUGAAAAUGUAUGCUAUACCCCAGCCACACUGAAGAGGCUCUGAAAUGUACAUCAACCAGGGAUAAAGAGAAAGUUAACACUGUGAAAUGUUUCUUACUUAAUUGAAGUUAUGUCUCUGACAUGUUGAAAAAGAUUAAAG
rnacentral:lncRNA from 1 species